rnacentral:rRNA from 1 species
GCGAAAACUUUACAAUGCUGGCAACAGCGAUAAGGGAACCUCGAGUGCCAGGUUACAAAUCUGGCUGUCGAGAUGCCUAAAAAGCAUUUCAUAGCAAGGGCCGGGCAAGACCGGUGCCAGCCGCCGCGGUAACACCGGCGGCUCGAGUGGUAACCGUUAUUAUUGGGUCUAAAGGGUCUGUAGCCGGCCGGAUAAGUCUCUUGAGAAAUCUGGCAGCUUAACUGUCAGGCUUUCAGGAGAUACUGUCUGGCUCGAGGCCGGGAGAGGUGAGAGGUACUUCAGGGGUAGGGGUGAAAUCUUGUAAUCCUUGAAGGACCACCAGUGGCGAAGGCGUCUCACCAGAACGGACCUGACGGCAAGGGACGAAAGCUAGGGGCACGAACC